UACAGAGGUCCCAAGCGUUGUUCGGAUUCAUUGGGCGUAAAGGGUGCGUAGGCGGCGCGGUAAGUCGGGUGUGAAAUCUCGGAGCUUAACUCCGAAACUGCAUUCGAUACUGCCGUGCUUGAGGACUGGAGAGGAGACUGGAAUUUACGGUGUAGCGGUGAAAUGCGUAGAUAUCGGGGAGGAACACCGGUGGCGAAGGCGGCUCUCUGGACCACUACUGACGCUGAGGCGCGAAGGCCAGGGGAGCAAACGGG
rnacentral:rRNA from 1 species